rnacentral:lncRNA from 1 species
AUGGGAAAAUAAUAUGCAGAAAUAAAUGGAAACUGAUGCAAAAAUAAUCUGCAGAAAUAAAUUGAAACUGAAUCUGCAAAGAAACUACACGAAUUGCAACGAAAUAAAUCUGCAGAAAGAAAACACAAACUGCAGCAAAUUUCAAACCGAGGUCUGUGCGUACACAGUUUCCUUAAGACAGUUUCGCCCUCUCACCGCAGGUGCUAGAAGUUCAGUUUGAGCAGCAGAAAAGAAGAAACUGUAUAUACAGGAAUGUAGUUGAGAUUUUUGAAUGUGUUAGAUUGUUGGAGAAUGAGCCUUUUUCUAGGCAUAUUGCCCAUUAAUACCAUUGGAAGUCUAUUGGAGUUUUUUCAGUUUAGAAACUCAAAAGUCAUUGAAGAAGACCAAAAAAAAUUGGCAAAACGUGGGCUCUCUGAUGAGGCCAUUUUUGCUUUGUUCGGUCCGACAUUCGUGUGUGCAGGUCGCGCCCGCAUCCAAGUUCAAGGUCCGAAUGCCAUUUUGGUUCGUGAUUUGCACCCCCUGCGCGCGCACGUGAAGAGAGCCUCUAUGCUACACAUGAUUACACAUCUUCAAAGCAUAGCUAUAUAUAAAGUGGUUUGAGUUUUUUUGAUUUUCCUAUGUGGAAUAAAUACAUUUUUUCCCACAAAACCAACUUUCAAUGACCAACUUUGAGUUCUAAUUUCUCAUUCACCCAAGUUUCAUUUUUGGCAAAUAAAUACAUGAAAUCGAUGUUCUCGCGGAGGAGAACACAUAUCAACUUUGAUAUUCCACAUUUGACCAACGGGUCCCAUCGAAAAUUGUGUCAAAAGUAAGCUGCUCACUCAAUUUUUUCCAACACAGUUAACAGAAUCAAUCCAACUCCACCACACGACCUUCAAACACUUACUCUUGGAACGAAGAUGAAAAUGAAAAUUAUAUGCAGAGUAAUACCAGGAAAAUGAACAAGAUGAAAUACUAAUUUCUUCAAAAUUUUCCUCCAGAACCAUGAACCGUAUGUGUCUGAGCCUGCAUAAACGGUACAUGAGUAAUUCACGUGGAGAAAUAAGUGUGGUAAAAUUCAAGAAAGAACGAACCAUGCCCUUCUGGCCUUUCAUAUCUUACCUGAAACUUUAUAGUUUAUUUAUAGAAUCAAUAAAACGAGUGUGCAAGUCCACAAUACGUUAAAAUGAAUAGGGAUUAUAUCAGGAUAUGAAAGCACAAAAUUCAAUAUUUAUUUCAUGAGCUAGAACAACCAAAGAUAAGAAUUUGGGUGUGCCCAUAGAAAAAUAGCAGAAACUUACUGUGGUUUGAUGAAGAAUGGGUCGUUGUAAAGGAAAUCUUGAAAGAGCUGAGGAGAGAUGAGUAGCCAUCUCUCUCUGUUUCUAUCUAUACAUCAGUAUAUUUAUCUCCUUGUAAUAAAAAAUUUCAAACUUAAAAAUAAAAAAUAUGUAUAAACUAAUAAACGUGGCAAAUGAGUGUUGUGUCCCAAACCGACGUGC